rnacentral:rRNA from 1 species
GAACUGGGGCUAAUACCGGAUAGGAGCUCCUGCUGCAUGGUGGGGGUUGGAAAGUUUCGGCGGUUGGGGAUGGACUCGCGGCUUAUCAGCUUGUUGGUGGGGUAGUGGCUUACCAAGGCUUUGACGGGUAGCCGGCCUGAGAGGGUGACCGGCCACAUUGGGACUGAGAUACGGCCCAG